UACGUAGGGUGCAAGCGUUAAUCGGAAUUACUGGGCGUAAAGCGUGCGCAGGCGGUUUUGUAAGUCUGUCGUGAAAGCCCCGGGCUCAACCUGGGAAUUGCGAUGGAGACUGCAAGGCUUGAAUCUGGCAGAGGGGGGUAGAAUUCCACGUGUAGCAGUGAAAUGCGUAGAGAUGUGGAGGAACACCGGUGGCGAAGGCGGCGACCUGGGUCGAUACUGACGCUGAGGUGCGAAAGCGUGGGGAGCAAACAGG
rnacentral:rRNA from 1 species